rnacentral:lncRNA from 1 species
UUCAAAUUGGUGCUGGUAAAAUACCUCUUAGAUGAAAAUGUUUCCAUCCAAUAUAAAAAGCUAAGCAAAAGUCCAUGUUAUUUUUAAAUACUAAUUCUAGAAUAUACCACAGGCGCCACUGUCUCUCGUGGAGGAAGGAUGUUGGUCGAGGGUCUGUUCCAGAUGCUAAAGACAGGCGCUGGCAGAAACAUUUCCUUAGAUCCUUAAGUGAAGCUGCUAGCCUGCGAAGUUUCCACCAGAUGGCACCAAAACACUAUAUUCCAAGCACUAAGCCGUCACCGCGCCUUCAGGAGAAAGAGCCGGAACCUUCCGCUCCUCUGAGAUGAUCAAGCACAGGCCCAGGGGCAAGUACAACAGAAAUUAAAACUCCCGCUCCCACCUCCCAGAAUGUGUGGUGUUGGAUUUUUAUCGGGAGAGAGAGAAAGGGAGGGAGAGAGAUAGAGAGAAAGAAACAAACUUUCUCAGGAAAAGGUCUUUAUUUUUUUAUAUUUUUCCUUCUUUAGAAUCUGGCCUAAAUGCUAUGAUGGGGGCCACCGCGUGGCAUAGUGGUUAAGUUUGGGCGCUCUUCUUCAGGGGCCUGGGGUUGGCCCGUUCAGAUCCUGGGCAGGGACCUAGCACUGCUCAUCAAGCCACGCUGUGGCAGAGUCCCAAAUAUAAAAUAGAAGAUGGGCACAGAUGUUAGCUCAGGGCCAAUCCUCCUCAGCAAAAAGAGGAAGAUUGGCAGCGGAUGUUAGCGGAGGGCCAAUGUCCCUCAAAAAAAAAAAAAAAAAAAAAAAGGCUAUGAUGGACUUUACGAAAUGAGGGACAUGAAUAUUCCUGGGGAUCCUGUCAUUUUCAGCAGGGUUUGCCUCCCUGUCCCUUUCGCUGUUUGCUACAGAACUGCGUGUUGACGAGAAUAGAAAUACAGUAGCUCCCUCUUAAGACAAGUGAAAACAAAUCUAUACAUUCAACAUUCUAACUAAACAAAAGAGUAAAAUUAACUAUUUUC